rnacentral:rRNA from 1 species
UACGUAGGGACCAAGCGUUGUUCGGAUUUACUGGGCGUAAAGGGCGCGUAGGCGGCGUGUUAAGUCAGCUGUGAAAUCUCCGAGCUUAACUCGGAACGGUCAGCUGAUACUGAUGUGCUAGAGUGCAGAAGGGGCAAUGGAAUUCCCGGUGUAGUGGUGGAAUGCGUAGAUAUCGGGAGGAACACCAGUGGCGAAGGCGGUUGCCUGGAGCUUUGCUGACGCUGAUGCGCGAAAGCGUGGGGAGCGAUCCGG